rnacentral:rRNA from 1 species
CCUACGGGGGGCAGCAGUGAGGAAUAUUGGUCAAUGGCCGGAAGGCUGAACCAGCCAAGCCGCGUGAAGGACGAAGGUGCCAAGCAUUGUAAACUUCUUUUGUCGGGGAGCAACGGGCGUCACGUGUGGCGCCACUGAGAGUACCCGGAGAAAAAGCAUCGGCUAACUCCGUGCCAGCAGCCGCGGUAAUACGGAGGAUGCGAGCGUUAUCCGGAUUUAUUGGGUUUAAAGGGUGCGUAGGCGGAUCGUUAAGUCAGCGGUAAAAUUGAGGGGCUAAACCCCUUCCCGCCAUUGAAACUGGCGUUCUUGAGUGGAAGAGAAGUAUGCGGAAUGCGUGGUGUAGCGGUGAAAUGCAUAGAUAUCACGCAGAACCCCGAUUGCGAAGGCAGCAUGCCGGCUUCCGACUGACGCUGAAGCACGAAAGCGUGGGGAUCGAACAGGAUUAGAUACCCCAGUAGUC